GAUGAACGCUGGCGGCGUGCUUAACACAUGCAAGUCGAACGGAAAGGCCCUGCUUUUGUGGGGUGCUCGAGUGGCGAACGGGUGAGUAACACGUGAGUAACCUGCCCUUGACUUUGGGAUAACUUCAGGAAACUGGGGCUAAUACCGGAUAGGAGCUCCUGCUGCAUGGUGGGGGUUGGAAAGUUUCGGCGGUUGGGGAUGGACUCGCGGCUUAUCCGCUUGUUGGUGGGGUAGUGGCUUACCAAGGCUUUGACGGGUAGCCGGCCUGAGAGGGUGACCGGCCACAUUGGGACUAAGAUACGGCCCAGAAUCCUACGGGAGGCAGCAGUGGGGAAUAUUGCACAAUGGGCGGAAGCCUGAUACAGCAACGCCGCGUGCGGGAUGACGGCCUUCGGGUUGUAAACCGCUUUCGCCUGUGACGAAGCGUGAGUGACGGUAAUGGGUAAAGAAGCACCGGCUAACUACGUG
rnacentral:rRNA from 1 species